rnacentral:tRNA from 1 species
UUUGUUUGGAUAUUCCCAUUGAUGUUUUUAGGACUGCAACUGAUCAGUCUCUAAUUGGCCAUAUGUGCAUA